GAUGAACGCUAGCGGCAGGCUUAACACAUGCAAGUCGAGGGGCAGCAUGAGGGUUAGCAAUAACCCUUGAUGGCGACCGGCGCAAGGGUGCGUAACGCGUGAGCAACUUGCCCGUUUCAGGGGGAUAACCGUUGGAAACGACGACUAAUACCCCAUGGCGAUGUUCGGAGGCAUCUCCUUACAUCUAAAGAAUUUCGGAAACGGAUAGGCUCGCGUGACAUUAGCUAGAUGGCGGGGUAACGGCCCACCAUGGCGACGAUGUCUAGGGGUUCUGGGAGGAAGGUCCCCCACACUGGAACUGAGACACGGUCCAGACUCCUACGGGAGGCAGCAGUGAGGAAUAUUGGUCAAUGGUCUGACGACUGAACCAGCCAUGCCGCGUGAAGGUCACGGCCCUAUGGGUCUUAAACUUCUUUUGCAAGGGAGCAAUAAGGUCUACGUGUAGAUCGAUGAGAGUACCUUGCGAAUAAGCAUCGGCUAACUCCGUGCCAGCAGCCGCAGUAAUAC
rnacentral:rRNA from 1 species